GACGAACGCUGGCGGCGUGCCUAAUACAUGCAAGUUGAGCGCUGAAGGUUGGUACUUGUACCAACUGGAUGAGCAGCGAACGGGUGAGUAACGCGUGGGGAAUCUGCCUUUGAGCGGGGGACAACAUUUGGAAACGAAUGCUAAUACCGCAUAAAAACUUUAAACACAAGUUUUAAGUUUGAAAGAUGCAAUUGCAUCACUCAAAGACGAUCCCGCGUUGUAUUAGCUAGUUGGUGAGGUAAAGGCUCACCAAGGCGAUGAUACAUAGCCGACCUGAGAGGGUGGUCGGCCACAUUGGGACUGAGACACGGCCCAAACUCCUACGGGAGGCAGCAGUAGGGAAUCUUCGGCAAUGGACGAAAGUCUGACCGAGCAACGCCGCGUGAGUGAAGAAGGUUUUCGGAUCGUAAAACUCUGUUGGUAGAGAAGAACGUUGGUGAGAGUGGAAAGCUCAUCAAGUGACGGUAACUACCCAGAAAGGGACGGCUAACUACGUG
rnacentral:rRNA from 1 species